UACGUAGGGGGCAAGCGUUGUCCGGAUUUAUUGGGCGUAAAGAGCGUGUAGGCGGCCAGGUAGGUCCGCUGUGAAAACUCGAGGCUCAACCUCGAGAUGUCGGCGGAAACCCUCUGGCUAGAGUCCGGAAGAGGAGAGUGGAAUUCCUGGUGUAGCGGUGAAAUGCGCAGAUAUCAGGAAGAACACCCGUGGCGAAGGCGGCUCUCUGGGACGGUACUGACGCUGAGACGCGAAAGCGUGGGGAGCAAACAGG
rnacentral:rRNA from 1 species